CAGUAUUUCUCACAAGUACCAAAUAAUCGGUUGUGGCAGCUGGUAAAUGUCAACAUAGCAUCAACAACAAUGAUGACUCAUAUGAUAUUACCCACAAUGCUGGAGAGAGGUAGAGGUGCUAUUAUCAAUGUGUCCUCAGCUUUAGGUGAUGCUCCCCCUACUCCUCUAUUAGCUGCUGAAGCUGCUUCAAUGAGUUUUGUGACAAUGUUAGGACGAACCCUACACGAUGAGUAUCAUCACAAAGGAAUCACUGUACAGACAUUGACACCACUUCCUCUAUCAAAGG